UACGUAGGGCGCAAGCGUUGUCCGGAAUUAUUGGGCGUAAAGAGCUCGUAGGCGGCCAGUUGCGUCCGCUGUGAAAACCCGGGGCUCAACCCCGGGCUUGCAGUGGAUACGGGCUGGCUAGAGGCAGGCAGGGGAGAACGGAAUUCCCGGUGUAGCGGUGAAAUGCGCAGAUAUCGGGAGGAACACCGGUGGCGAAGGCGGUUCUCUGGGCCUGUACUGACGCUGAGGAGCGAAAGCGUGGGGAGCGAACAGG
rnacentral:rRNA from 1 species